UACGUAGGGUGCAAGCGUUAAUCGGAAUUACUGGGCGUAAAGCGUGCGCAGGCGGUUUUGUAAGUCUGUCGUGAAAUCCUCGGGCUCAACCUGAGAAUUGCGAUGGAGACUGCAAGGCUAGAAUCUGGCAGAGGGGGGGUAGAAUUCCACGUGUAGCAGUGAAAUGCGUAGAUAUGUGGAGGAACACCGAUGGCGAAGGCAGCCCCCUGGGCUAACACUGACGCUCAUGCACGAAAGCGUGGGGAGCAAACAGG
rnacentral:rRNA from 1 species